UACGUAGGGAGCAAGCGUUGUCCGGAAUCAUUGGGCGUAAAGAGCGCGUAGGUGGCUGUAUAAGUCCGUUGUGAAAGUCAAAGGCUCAACCUUUGAAAGCCGAUGGAUACUGUAGAGCUAGAGUACGGAAGAGGCGAGUGGGAUUCCUGGUGUAGCGGUGGAAUGCGCAGAUAUCGGGAGGAACACCGGUGGCGAAGGCGGUUCUCUGGGCCUGUGCUGACGCUGAGGAGCGAAAGCGUGGGGAGCGAACAGG
rnacentral:rRNA from 1 species